UACGACCGUACCGCAAACCGACACUGGUGCGCGAGAUGAGUAUUCUAAGGCGCUUGAGAGAACUCAGGAGAAGGAACUCGGCAAAUUGACACCGUAACUUCGGAAGAAGGUGUGCCCUAUUAGUGUGUAGUGAACAACGAAGCAUGAAUGGGUUGCAAAAAAUCGGUGGCUGCGACUGUUUAUUAAAAACACAGCACUCUGCAAACACGAAAGUGGACGUAUAGGGUGUGACGCCUGCCCGGUGCUGGAAGAUUAAAUGAUGGGGUGCAAGCUCUUGAUUGAAGUCCCAGUAAACGGCGGCCGUAACUAUAACGGUCCUAAGGUAGCGAAAUUCCUUGUCGGGUAAGUUCCGACCUGCACGAAUGGCGUAACGAUGGCCACACUGUCUCCUCCUGAGACUCAGCGAAGUUGAAAUGUUUGUGAUGAUGCAAUCUCCCCGCGGAAAGACGGAAAGACCCCAUGAACCUUUACUGUAGCUUUGUAUUGGACUUUGAACAGAUCUGUGUAGGAUAGGUGGGAGGCUUUGAAGCAGGGUCGCUAGAUCUUGCGGAGCCAACGUUGAAAUACCACCCUGGUGUGUUUGAGGUUCUAACCUAGGUCCAUUAUCUGGAUCGGGGACAGUGCAUGGUAGGCAGUUUGACUGGGGCGGUCUCCUCCCAAAGCGUAACGGAGGAGUUCGAAGGUACGCUAGUUACGGUCGGACAUCGUGACGAUGGUGCAAUGGCAUAAGCGUGCUUAACUGCGAGACUGACAAGUCGAGCAGAUGCGAAAGCAGGACAUAGUGAUCCGGUGGUUCUGUAUGGAAGGGCCAUCGCUCAACGGAUAAAAGGUACUCUGGGGAUAACAGGCUGAUACCGCCCAAGAGUUCAUAUCGACGGCGGUGUUUGGCACCUCGAUGUCGGCUCAUCUCAUCCUGGGGCUGUAGCCGGUCCCAAGGGUAUGGCUGUUCGCCAUUUAAAGAGGUACGUGAGCUGGGUUUAAAACGUCGUGAGACAGUUUGGUCCCUAUCUUCCGUGGGCGCUGCAGAUUUGAGGAAGCCUGCUCCUAGUACGAGAGGACCGGAGUGGACACACCUCUGGUGUAUCGGUUGUCACGCCAGUGGCAUUGCCGAGUAGCUAAGUGUGGAAGAGAUAACCGCUGAAAGCAUCUAAGCGGGAGACUCGUUUCAAGAUGAGAUCUGCCGGGGCCUUGAGCCCCCUAAAGAGUCGUUCAAGACCAGGACGUUGAUAGGUCAGGUGUGGAA
rnacentral:rRNA from 1 species